rnacentral:tmRNA from 1 species
GGGGCUGAUUCUGGAUUCGACGGGAUUUGCGAAACCCAAGGUGCAUGCCGAGGGGCGGUUGGCCUCGUAAAAAGCCGCAAAAAAUAGUCGCAAACGACGAAAACUACGCUUUAGCAGCUUAAUAACCUGCUUAGAGCCCUCUCUCCCUAGCCUCCGCUCUUAGGACGGGGAUCAAGAGAGGUCAAACCCAAAAGAGAUCGCGUGGAAGCCCUGCCUGGGGUUGAAGCGUUAAAACUUAAUCAAGCUAGUUUGUUAGUGGCGUGUCCGUCCGCAGCUGGCAAGCGAAUGUAAAGACUGACUAAGCAUGUAGUACCGAGGAUGUAGGAAUUUCGGACGCGGGUUCAACUCCCGCCAGCUCCACCA